ACCUGACUGCUAUCGGAUUGAUACUAAGCCAUGCGAGUCAUUGUAGCAAUACAAGGCAGACGGCUCAGUAACGCGUAGUCAACCUACCCUAUGGACGGGGAUAACCUCGGGAAACUGAGAAUAAUACCCGAUAGAACACUAUACCUGGAAUGGUUUGUGUUCCAAAUAAUUUAUUGCCGUAGGAUGGGACUGCGGCCUAUCAGUUUGUUGGUGAGGUAAUGGCCCACCAAGACUAUUACAGGUACGGGCUCUGAGAGGAGUGGCCCGGAGAUGGGUACUGAGACACGGACCCAGGCCCUAUGGGGCGCAGCAGGCGAGAAAACUUUGCAAUGUGCGAAAGCACGACAAGGUUAAUCCGAGUGGUUUCUGCUAAAGGAACCUUUUGACAGUUCUAGAAAUACUGUUGAAUAAGGGGUGGGCAAGUUCUGGUGUCAGCCGCCGCGGUAAAACCAGCACCUCAAGUGGUCAGGAUGAUUAUUGGGCCUAAAGCAUCCGUUAGCCGGCUCUGUAAGUUUUCGGUUAAAUCUGUACGCUCANCGUACAGGCUGCUGGGAAUACUGCAAAAC
rnacentral:rRNA from 1 species